GCUCCUGUAGCGUAGUGGUUUAUCGCCUCGUACUUAUAUGAAUCUCUGUUCAUAUGGAAUGCGAAGGUCCCGAGUUCGAUCCUCGGCAGGAGCA